GAUGAAGAACGCAGCGAAAUGCGAUACGUAAUGUGAAUUGCAAAUUCAGUGAAUCAUCGAGACUUUGAACGCACAUUGCGCCCCCUGGUAUUCCGGGGGGCAUGCCUGUCCGAGCGUCAUUGCUGCCCUCAAGCACGGCUUGUGUGUUGGGCCCCGUCCUCCGAUUCCGGGGGACGGGCCCGAAAGGCAGCGGCGGCACCGCGUCCGGUCCUCGAGCGUAUGGGGCUUUGUCACCCGCUCUGUAGGCCCGGCCGGCGCUUGCCGAUCAACCCAAAUUUUUAUCCAGGUUGACCUCGGAUCAGGUAGGGAUACCCGCUGAACUUAAGCAUAUCAAUAAGCGGAGGA
rnacentral:misc_RNA from 1 species